rnacentral:rRNA from 1 species
GACAAACGCUGGCGGCGUGCUUAACACAUGCAAGUCGAACGGAAAGGCCCUGCUUUUGUGGGGUGCUCGAGUGGCGAACGGGUGAGUAACACGUGAGUAACCUGCCCUUGACUUUGGGAUAACUUCAGGAAACUGGGGCUAAUACCGGAUAGGAGCUCCUGCUGCAUGGUGGGGGUUGGAAAGUUUCGGCGGCUGGGGAUGGACUCGCGGCUUAUCAGCUUGUUGGUGGGGUAGUGGCUUACCAAGGCUUUGACGGGUAGCCGGCCUGAGAGGGUGACCGGCCACAUUGGGACUGAGAUACGGCCCAGACUCCUACGGGAGGCAGAAGUGGGGAAUAUUGCACAAUGGGCGGAAGCCUGAUGCAGCAACGCCGCGUGCGGGAUGACGGCCUUCGGGUUGUAAACCGCUUUCGCCUGUGACGAAGCGUGAGUGACGGUAAUGGGUAAAGAAGCACCGGCUAACUACGUG